rnacentral:rRNA from 1 species
AAUGGGGGCAACCCUGAUCCAGCCAUGCCGCGUGAGUGAAGAAGGCCCUAGGGUCGUAAAACUCUUUCGCCUGUGAUAAUAAUGACAGUAGCAGGUAAAGAAACCCCGGCUAACUCCGUGCCAGCAGCCGCGGUAAUACGGAGGGGGUUAGCGUUGUUCGGAAUUACUGGGCGUAAAGCGCACGUAGGCGGAUUAGAAAGUUAGAGGUGAAAUCCCGGGGCUCAACCCCGGAACUGCCUUUAAAACUACUAGUCUGGAGUUCGAGAGAGGUGAGUGGAAUUCCGAGUGUAGAGGUGAAAUUCGUAGAUAUUCGGAGGAACACCAGUGGCGAAGGCGGCUCACUGGCUCGAUACUGACGCUGAGGUGCGAAAGUGUGGGGAGCAAACAGGAUU